CACGGCCGUGCUCCUCCUUAUAUCAUCUACCUCGAUCAUGAACACAAAGAAAUCGUGCUUGCAAUUCGUGGGUUAAAUUUGAUCAAGGAAAGCGACUACAAAUUGCUAUUGGACAAUCGACUGGGGAUGCAAAUGUUUGAUGGGGGUUAUGUGCAUCAUGGGUUGUUGAAGUCUGCAUUAUGGUUGUUGAAUGAAGAGAGAGAGACAUUGAAGGAUAUCUGGCAGAAAAAUGGGAAGGAAUGCACUAUGGUGUUUGCAGGACAUUCUUUGGGGUCAGGAGUGGCUGCCUUGUUGACGAUUAUUGCUGUUAAUCAUCGAGAUCAAUUAGGAGGAAUUCCCAGGAACAAAAUCAGGUGUUAUGCUGUGGCUCCAGCUCGAUGUGUGUCACUUAACUUGGCGGUUAAGUACGCAGAUGUGAUUAACUCCAUUGUGCUGC
rnacentral:misc_RNA from 1 species